GGUACGCCCACGCAAUGAGAAAAUAUCUCAACAAGACCGACAUCGUCCGGUGGUAUGACGGUUUUGCCAUCCUCAACAAUUACCUGAGGGAUGAGUUGGCAGAUGAGAUCUACGGCAGGUUUAACCUAAAUACAAAGGGAGGCGGACGUGGCAGGCAUCAGCACGCAUAACUCGACUGGAAAUCUAAACGACAUAAAUAAAUGGAAAGCUGAUUGGCAUUCUCCCCCUAAUCCUAUUGAGAACAUGAAGUCAAUAUUGAGAACCUUCCCAGAGUACAAGAAGGCGGUGGACGGCAGGCCUCUCUGCUUCUCCG